GUCGGUGUGAUGUAAUGGUUAGGGUGUUGAACUAGGACUUGGGAGACCAGGGUUCAAAUCCCUGCUCAGCCA